rnacentral:rRNA from 1 species
CCCUUAGAUGUUCUGGGCCGCACGCGCGUUACACUGAUGCAUUCAACGAGCUUAUAACCUUGGCCGAGAGGCCUGGGCAAUCUUGUUAACGUGCAUCGUGAUAGGGAUAGAUUAUUGAAAUUAUUAAUCUUGAACGAGGAAUUCCUAGUAAACGCAGAUCAUCAAUCUGCAUUGAUUACGUCCCUGCCCUUUGUACACACCGCCCGUCGCACCUACCGAUUGGAUGGUCCGGUGAAGCCUCGGGAUUGUGGUUCUUGCCGCUUUAUUGUGGCGUGACCGCGAGAACUUGUCUAAACCUUAUCAUUUAGAGGAAGGAGAAGUCGUAACA